UAAUAUCCAUUAUAUAUCCAUCUCCUCCAGCAACCGUUUCUUAUGAUGGGGUGUGUGUGUGUGUGUGUGGAAGAGAGGACCGAGAGAAAGAGAAGGUCAAGGGGCAACUGGCUUGGGGGGUUUGUUGGAGUGAUUUCCACCAUUGCUUCUUCUUCUUCUUCUUCUUGUUCUUCCUAUUGCCACAACCAUCCAUUCCUCUUUAUGGGGUUUGAGAGUUCUUAGAGCAACCAAAGUGAAGGUUAAAGGUUUGAGUCGAGCCGAGGUAAACUCGUGUUCGUUUGGUUAUUUUCUGAGCCCGAAAUCAAGAUUUCUCGAGAGAUUUCUACAACAGGAUAUAUAGGUUAUCUUUUGGUUUUUGUUGUUAUUCAUUUUCUUGGGCUUGUGUAGUAUCUUUUUGGGAUUUUUCUGUUUUGGUUUCUAUAUCGUGGCCCAGCUUCAGAUUAUGGCAUUGUUUGGUACCAUUAAUUGCCAAAUUCUAAGAUGCAUUUGGAUGCUAGGACGACUGGAAAGGAAUUUUUGGCAGAGUGGUCGGUUAGCCUCAGAUAUUAAGCAAUUAUCAUGUUGUGUUUUUUCUCCAUAACAGAGUAUGUCUGGUGAAAGAAUGUCUGAAUUAUCAGAAUGUGUAUUUUCACUCAAUUGGUAAAGCAGGGACGAUGGUGAUGUAUAAAUUAUUAUGCAUAUACAAGACACGGAAAUCCUAUGUAUGUAAAUAAAAUGAAAAAGAAGAAUGUGAACAAUUUACUAAUUAUGUACUGGGUUGUGCUUGAUGUACAUAAUUUGUGCACAUAACACCAAGAAUUUUCCUUAUAUAUACAUAAAUAAGAAUACGGAGAUUUGCCAUACCUGUGUAUGUCGAGAGAGAGAG
rnacentral:lncRNA from 1 species